AAUCAUGUAGUAAAUUUAGUCAAAGUAGUAAAAUCGAAUUUAAAAAGAAAUUUAAUUGCAUUUAUAGCUAUUAUUGUAUUUUAUGCUAAUAUUACCAUGCAAUGUAAAAUCGAAGAAGAAGAUACCUAAUUUGACAACGACUUCAUGUAAAACAUAUUUAAAAGGGUGUGAUUUACAAAACCGUAAGCAAUUAUUGUAGAUCUAUUUUCGGUCAAUUAUAUGCAUCAUAUCUAUGCGACUUAAUGUAAACAUUGCUCUUUUCAUUUUCAUGCAAUAAACUACUAUAUGGUCCGAGCUUAUGCAUUAUAUUAAACUAAACAUAUAAAAUAUUUUUAUUUAUUUUUGAUUAACAUUGAGGUAU
rnacentral:lncRNA from 1 species